GAUGAACGCUGGCGGCGUGCCUAAUACAUGCAAGUCGAGCGAACGGACGAGAAGCUUGCUUCUCUGAUGUUAGCGGCGGACGGGUGAGUAACACGUGGAUAACCUACCUAUAAGACUGGGAUAGCUUCGGGAAACCGGAGCUAAUACCGGAUAAUAUUUUGAACCGCAUGGUUCAAAAGUGAAAGACGGUCUUGCUGUCACUUAUAGAUGGAUCCGCGCUGCAUUAGCUAGUUGGUAAGGUAACGGCUUACCAAGGCAACGAUGCAUAGCCGACCUGAGAGGGUGAUCGGCCACACUGGAACUGAGACACGGUCCAGACUCCUACGGGAGGCAGCAGUAGGGAAUCUUCCGCAAUGGGCGAAAGCCUGACGGAGCAACGCCGCGUGAGUGAUGAAGGUCUUCGGAUCGUAAAACUCUGUUAUUAGGGAAGAACAUAUGUGUAAGUAACUGUGCACAUCUUGACGGUACCUAAUCAGAAAGCCACGGCUAACUACGUGCCAGCAGCCGCGGUAAUACGUAGGUGGCAAGCGUUAUCCGGAAUUAUUGGGCGUAAAGCGCGCGUAGGCGGUUUUUUAAGUCUGAUGUGAAAGCCCACGGCUCAACCGUGGAGGGUCAUUGGAAACUGGAAAACUUGAGUGCAGAAGAGGAAAGUGGAAUUCCAUGUGUAGCGGUGAAAUGCGCAGAGAUAUGGAGGAACACCAGUGGCGAAGGCGACUUUCUGGUCUGUAACUGACGCUGAUGUGCGAAAGCGUGGGGAUCAAACAGGAUUAGAUACCCUGGUAGUCCACGCCGUAAACGAUGAGUGCUAAGUGUUAGGGGGUUUCCGCCCCUUAGUGCUGCAGCUAACGCAUUAAGCACUCCGCCUGGGGAGUACGACCGCAAGGUUGAAACUCAAAGGAAUUGACGGGGACCCGCACAAGCGGUGGAGCAUGUGGUUCAAUUCGAAGCAACGCGAAGAACCUUACCAAAUCUUGACAUCCUUUGACAACUCUAGAGAUAGAGCCUUCCCCUUCGGGGGACAAAGUGACAGGUGGUGCAUGGUUGUCGUCAGCUCGUGUCGUGAGAUGUUGGGUUAAGUCCCGCAACGAGCGCAACCCUUAAGCUUAGUUGCCAUCAUUAAGUUGGGCACUCUAAGUUGACUGCCGGUGACAAACCGGAGGAAGGUGGGGAUGACGUCAAAUCAUCAUGCCCCUUAUGAUUUGGGCUACACACGUGCUACAAUGGACAAUACAAAGGGCAGCGAAACCGCGAGGUCAAGCAAAUCCCAUAAAGUUGUUCUCAGUUCGGAUUGUAGUCUGCAACUCGACUACAUGAAGCUGGAAUCGCUAGUAAUCGUAGAUCAGCAUGCUACGGUGAAUACGUUCCCGGGUCU
rnacentral:rRNA from 1 species